UCAAUCUAAAAACAAUUCCGAACUGAAAAUGCUUAUAUAAAGCAUAAAAUUUUAUCCUUUUAAAAUAAAAUUUAAACUAAGUAUUAAAUUAAAAUAAAUUUUAAAUUUUUAACCGAAUAGCGAAAAGUAAGGUUAACGUGUGUCACGUGAUUACAAGGAUGGGGUAUGAUUGGUAGUUUAUUUCGUUUUGGAGCUACGAUAACUUUAUAUGGAUCGGAACUCCGAUCUUAUACAACGGCGAAACAUACGAUAUAAUCUGUAUUGGGAUAUUUAUACUGUAUCGGAAAGUGAAAACUGCUCACCGCAAACUCUCUUAAUAUCUUCUGUAAGCUCUUGUAAUUAUAAUAAAUUCACCGCGGAUCACAAAAAAGUGUCACGUGCUGCGAGUUUGACGUGGCUGCUCUACAUCGAAUCAACACUGUGAGGAAAACUACUAUAAUAUAUUUAUUAAAUAAAACAAGUAAUAAUGAUGAUAGAAUAUAGGCAAGAUUAAAAUAUAAAAUUAGUAAGCCGUCUCAUAUUAUGGAAAUAAGUUUCCAAUUACUCUGAAGAAUCCAAUAAUUUCAUUUUAUUUAAUAUACUGUACAUUAAUUUCUGUCACAGUUCAGUUUGUAUUGUUUAUUCUAAUAUAUCCUUUAGUUAAAAUUUCUAAUAAGGCAAUCGGUGUAGGACUUAUAGCCAUCAACUACAAUCUGUGUGCAAUACUGUACUUUAGUGAUACUAUAUAUUAAUCUUAGUGAAAAAAUAUAAUAUUGGGAUUAUUUAUAAAAAAAUUAUUUAUAUGAAUAAUUUUAAACAUCAAAACUGGAUAUUAAAUUAAUAACUUAGAAGUAAAUUUUAGAUAUGAAUUAAUAUUAUUUUAAUAAUAU
rnacentral:lncRNA from 1 species